rnacentral:rRNA from 1 species
GACGAACGCUGGCGGCGUGCCUAAUACAUGCAAGUCGAACGCAGUGGGGACUGGUGAGUAACACGUGGGUAACCUCCCAUCAGAGGGGAUAACACUUGGAAACAGGUGCUAAACCGCUACUGAUGGAUGGACCCGCGGUGCAGUAGCUAUUUGGUGAGGUAGCGGCUCACCAAGUCCACGAUGCAUAGCGGACCUGAGAGGGUGAUCGGCCACACUGGGACGGAGACACGGACCAGACUCCGACGGGAGGCAGCAGUAGGGAAUCUUCGGCAAUGGACGAAAGUCUGACCGAGCAACGCGGCGUGAGUGAAGAAGGUUUUCGGAUCGUAAAAGUCUGUUGUUAGAGAAGCGGUAUCUAACCAGAAAGCCACGGCUAACUACGUGCCAGCCGCCGCGGUAAUUC